rnacentral:rRNA from 1 species
AUACAGAGGGUGCGAGCGUUAAUCGGAGUUACUGGGCGUAAAGGGCGCGUAGGCGGAUGAUUAAGUCAGUUGUGAAAUCCCAGGGCUUAACCUUGGAACUGCAAUUGAUACUGAUUGACUAGAGUCGAAGAGAGGGAAGCGGAAUUUCCGGUGUAGCGGUGAAAUGCGUAGAUAUCGGAAGGAACACCCGUGGCGAAGGCGGCUUCCUGGCUUCAGACUGACGCUGAGGUGCGAAAGCGUGGGGAGCGAACAGGAUUAGAAACCCGUGUAGUCC